GACGAACGCUGGCGGCGUGCUUAACACAUGCAAGUCGAACGAAGUGUCGAACGGGUGAGUAACGCGUAAUCAACCUGCCCUUCAGAGGGGGACAACAGUUGGAAACGACUGCUAAUACCGCAUACUGAAGGAGGGGAUUGCGUCUGAUUAGCUAGUUGGAGGGGUAACGGCCCACCAAGGCGAUGAUCGGUAGCCGGUAGGGGAGGAGAGACGGCCAAAAUGAGACUGAGUCACGGCCCAGACUCCUAAGGGGGGCAGCAGUGGGGAAUCUGCCGCAAUGGACGAAAGUCGGACGGAACAACGCCGCGUAAGUGAUGAGGGCAUUCGGGUUGUAAAAAUCUGUUAAUCGGGACGCGGUACCGGAAUAGAAAGCCACGGCUAACUACGUGCCAGCCGCCGCGGUAAUAC
rnacentral:rRNA from 1 species